GACGAACGCUGGCGGCGUGCUUAACACAUGCAAGUCGAACGGAAAGGCCCUGCUUUUGUGGGGUGCUCGAGUGGCGAACGGGUGAGUAACACGUGAGUAACCUGCCCCUGACUUUGGGAUAACUUCAGGAAACUGGGGCUAAUACCGGAUAGGAGCUCCUGCUGCAUGGUGGGGGUUGGAAAGUUUCGGCGGUUGGGGAUGGACUCGCGGCUUAUCAGCUUGUUGGUGGGGUAGUGGCUUACCAAGGCUUUGACGGGUAGCCGGCCUGGGAGGGUGACCGGCCACAUUGGGACUGAGGUACGGCCCAGACUCCUACGGGAGGCAGCAGUGGGGAAUAGUGCACAAUGGGCGGAAGCCGGAAGCAGCGACGCCGCGUGCGGGAUGACGGCCUUCGGGUUGUAAACCGCUUUCGCCUGUGACGAAGCGUGAGGGACGGUAAUGGGUAAAGAAGCACCGGCUAACUACGU
rnacentral:rRNA from 1 species